rnacentral:rRNA from 1 species
CCUACGGGCGGCAGCAGUGGGGAAUAUUGCACAAUGGGCGCAAGCCUGAUGCAGCCAUGCCGCGAGUGUGAAGAAGGCCUUCGGGUUGUAAAGCACUUUCAGCGGGGAGGAAGGCGGUGAGGUUAAUAACCUCAUCGAUUGACGUUACCCGCAGAAGAAGCACCGGCUAACUCCGUGCCAGCAGCCGCGGUAAUACGGAGGGUGCAAGCGUUAAUCGGAAUUACUGGGCGUAAAGCGCACGCAGGCGGUCUGUCAAGUCGGAUGUGAAAUCCCCGGGCUCAACCUGGGAACUGCAUUCGAAACUGGCAGGCUAGAGUCUUGUAGAGGGGGGUAGAAUUCCAGGUGUAGCGGUGAAAUGCGUAGAGAUCUGGAGGAAUACCGGUGGCGAAGGCGGCCCCCUGGACAAAGACUGACGCUCAGGUGCGAAAGCGUGGGGAGCAAACAGGAUUAGAUACCCCAGUAGUC